GGGAAGUAUUGGGCACUUAUGGCAUGAUGUCACGAGUGAUGGUGCUUUUCUCAGUGGACAUGCUCCGUCCCUUGUGUCUUGCUGAGAACUUUCUCUGUGUGAGGCGGCCUGUGGAGCACCGGGGCUGGGGCGAACGUGCUGGGUGGAUAGAGUCUCCCCUUCAGCGUCUCCGCUUCCAAAGAAGGGGGCGUCUGGAGAUCUGGGGACUCGCGGGCUGUGGGCCUGGCAUGGGGAGGAGCCCUGGGUGACCCUCACUAACUGAUAGGAGAUGCUGUUGAAUCCAGGUGACAGUCUGUCAGGUGUAGGGUGGUUGGCGACUCCCGUGCCACCCAGAACUCUCAGUUUGCUGGUUCUGGCGGGUCCCCUGUGGGAAAGCCGACACGGGCAUCCAUUACUCUCAGGAGGUGGCUUGGUGAGCGGGGCCUUGGCGCAGAGGGAGCUGGGGCACCAACACGGCCAACGCCGUCCAGCUGCAGUGUCUGGGGUCUGUUUGCCGCGACGUGGGGGUGACUCGUCAGCCCCGCUCUCCCUGGCGUGCAGAGCACACGCUGAGCAACACUCUUUCCGGAAUAUUCCACACGCAGCCCUGCCUUUCUGUUAGCACGUGAACACUCCAGCAGCCCGUCUACAGGGGAAGGAAGAGGACAGCGUUUUCACAGUGCUUCCGGGGCCGUCUGCAUCAGAAUCCCCGCGAGGGCUUGUUAGAAGCACGGCAUCCUGGUCCCACUCAGAGUCAGGGAGUUGGAGGCUGGGAGUGGGGCCCGAGAACCUGCAUUUCCAAAAACACACACCUGGUGAUUCUAACGCAGGCAGAAGUUUGAGAACCGCUGCCGUAGGGUACGGGUCGAGACAAAACAAAACCAGACAGACUGCCCAGGUGUCUCUUGCUCUCUGGCCCCUGUGUUCGGACGGCAAGGGUUUGGGUGAGGAGGGCUGCGCAUCCCUGCGUCUCGGGUGGCAGUGGUGAGAGUUUGAGAAGCAGCGGGCCCGUCGGUCUGUUGGGUUCCUUCUUCCCCCCGCAGGGGUUCUGAGAGCGAGGUUUGCUGGAGUUGCAGCUCCGAGGCUGCGCCUGGACAUCGCGUUAGUGACAGUCACUCCCGAUGACCCUUUAAAUUUCGGACUGCACACCAGGAAGGGUGCUCAGCAUUUUGUGUGUGCUCUUUGGUCCCCGUGGGACCCUAGCGGGGGGCCUGCUCUCUCUGUAGUCCAGUCUAGGUUCGAUUUCCAGUUACCCCACACCAGCUGCAUGGCUGCUGACGAGUCAUCCUAUCUCCCUGAGCCUCGGUGUCCUUAUCUGCAAAAUCGACACAAGAUGGGGGAAGGUUUUCCGCGAUGACAGCUGCUCUGGAGGUUUUCAGCGGGGACCACGGUGAACGUGUGGGGUGUCUAGGACAGUGUCGGCUGCACGGCGAGGGUGCCUUCCCCGCCCCCGCGAUUGUGUCAGCCCCUCCUCUCACCACACCCACUGGCGGUGUAGCUGCCCAGUUGGACACACGGGUUCACAGUGUGACCCAGAGGACCUCCCUGGUGUACUCGUGUGCUGAUCCUCGCCCCACAUUCACCUUGCACUUGGCCCUGCUCAUCAUCUGCCUGCAGCUCUGGGUCUUGAGCCUCUGGGUUCUGUGCCCCCUUCAGCCGUCAGCCCUCUAACUCAGUGCCGCGUGCGUGAGCCUGGGGCCACGCGGGGAUCGCCGGUGUGUGGCCCCCUCUCCCCGUGUCCAGCUCCCCUCUGGGCUUUGCUCCCUCCCUGGAUAGCUGAGGCCCCGUGGCCGGUCACUUACUCUUCCUGCCAGCUCCUGAGCACGCGCGUCCCUUUAUCCUCAUCCUGACUGCAAUACCCUGACCACAGGACAGUCCGGCCACCCUGUCUGCUCUCAAGCCCGCGUCCUGAGGCAGGGACAUGCUCGCAUGCCCAGUCCUCUGCUCGGCUCCCUCUUGCCCUCUGCAGCUGUGCUGAACCCUCACCACUCCCCUCCAGCCCCUCACGUCCCUCUGCCCCCGUGCCCUCCUCCCCCCUGCCCCCCUGCCCUUCUGCCCCAUCUCUCAGCAGAUGACUGUACUUCCUGUUUCAGAGGCAGAGGCUGGUUGCCAGUCUGAGGAAGGGGAAGGCACAGGCUGAACGUGGGUACACAUCCUGGCUGUGCCCCUUGCCAGCUGUGUGUCUCUAGGCAAGUUAAUCAACCUCUCGGAGCCUCGGAGUCCUCCUGUGUAAGAUGGAAGUGGUAAUGCUCACCUUCUGGGGUGGUUCGGAGGAUCAGAUGGUACCCAGCAGGGGCCCGCAGAGGAAGGAAGGCGUACCCUUGACUAGUACACAGCCAUCCUGACAGGUGUCUCUGGUCCCCAGGAGGACCGAAGUUCCCCAAGUUACAGACUGGAGACUUUUAUCUACCAGAAGGUAGAAGUAGCCAGGGUUCAGCAUAAUCCUUCUAGAAGGUUAGAUGGAUAGCCACUGUCUUCACCACCUGGGGAGAGGGGGCGAGUCUCAUGACUGUUCUCGCCCCGGGUCCAGCUGACAGGACUGGCUGGGACACACGGACGCUGGGGCUGGUCUGAUCGCCCGGCAGCUCCCUCGCUUCUCCCCUGUGGCAUGGGUAGGGGACUCAUCUUUUUCUUUAAGAUUUGUGAACAAGGCGGGGGAAGAGUCAGCCCAGCAGAGGCUGUGGCUCUUUCACGGAGCCUGUCUGCUCCGGAAGCCGCUCUGGGGUUGAGGGUCCGUGGAGGGUGUGCUGCUCUCCCUCCUCCGCCACCGUUCUCCUGCCUGCGGGCAGUUUGUUGGGAAGGAGGCGUGCGUGCCAGCCACAGGCUGUGAGGGAAGCGGCUGCCAUCUGCUGGGUUACGAAGAGCUCAGGGGAGAGGCCCACUCACGGCCGUUGUUAGAGUUGAGGUGUGUCCCUCAGAAAGAUCCGUGGAAGUCCUGACCCCCAGGGCCUCAGAAUGUGGCCUUGUUUGGAAAUAGGGUCAUUGCAGGUGUGACUGGUCAGGAUGAGGUCAUGCUGCCGUGGGGUGGGCCCUGACCCAGUAUGGCUGGGGUCCUCAUGAGAAGAAGCGCCAAGGAUUGUGGCCACCACCAGAAGCUAGAACGUUCCUCCCCUGGAGCCUUCAGAGAGGCUCUGCCGACACCUUGAGUUCAGACUUCUGGCUUCCAGAACUGGGAGGCGAUCUGUCUCUGUUGUUUUAAGCCACCAAGUCUGUCAUACUUUGUUAGAGCGGCCCAGGAAAUGAAUACAGCUAUAUGGUAUCUUUGGUGUGACCCUCAGCAGACUUCGGAAGGCUGAGGGGUCAGUUUCUGUGUACGUGGUUGUCUCCUGGGACCCGCACACAUCCAUGUGCUGUGAUCUGAGCCCUAAAGUGAAAACUGAUUUGCGUAGCAAAGAAUCCUCCUUGUGGACGUGCGGGUUCCGC